rnacentral:lncRNA from 1 species
CAUCUCCCACCAUUCACAUUGCUCUAUACCUCUCUUAAUUCAUCCAAUAUCCCAUCCCCACCACUGCUUUAUUUAAUUCAAAACAAAAUUUCAAUUUUGACUAAGCCCAACUAACUUGAGCCCCAAAGCCAUCACUACUAUACAUUAUUUAACCUUCUCCAUAACACUUGUCCCUAUAACAAAGUUCAUCCCCUCAAAACCCUCCUCACUGAUCCACCUCCUACACCAGCAGAACCAGGAAAUCUCACUCUCUCUCUCCCCCUCUCUCUAGAUUUUGUUGUUAGAACCUUAAUGGCUCGAAGAAAUCUAAUACUAUUUUUUGUUGUCUUGCUUUUCUUUGCCACCUUUGUUUCCUCCAUACAUGGCCGGAAGUUCUUGAAAAUACCGCCUUUCGACGACAGAUUGUAUCUAAACGCUCUUCCAAAGGGCACCGUGCCGGCUUCCACCCCUAGCAAGAAGGGUCACGCCAUGAUCAUCGACGAAAAGUUAAUAGUCCGCCACCUUGCCGCUGUCGACCGGAUUCUCCGAUCAGUUCCUAGCCCUGGUGUUGGAAAUUAAUCUCUUCUUUUACAUUUUUUGUUAUUCAUUUCAUUUCCACUUCUUUUACAAUUUUGGUUAUUCUGUUAUGGUGUAUAGAAGCCGAUAACGUAUAGGUAGAAUUGUACGCUUGAUGCCUUGAUAUAUAAGUGUAUAGAACAAGAUUAUCGAGCUAGGUUUUCUUUAUCAAAUUGUUUUGGUAAUCCAAUUGGUUAAUAGAAGAUUCAACAAUUUAGUGACAUACUUACCAUAAGGUGUUUUCGUAUAGUAACAGACAAACUAUACUUUUUAUAUUUGUUAUUAUUAUUUGUUU